AUGAAGAAGAACUAAAGAGCUUCUUGAUGAAAGUGAAAGAGGAGAGUGAAAAAGUUGGCUUAAAGCUCAACAUUCAGAAAACUAAGAUCAUGGCAUCUCGUCCCAUCACUUCAUGGCAAAUACAUUGGGAAACAAAGGAAACGGUAACUGACUUUAUUUUUCUGGGCUCCAAAAUCACUGCAGAUGGUGAUUGCA